AAACCAACAGGGAUUGCCUUAGUAGCGGCGAGUGAAGCGGCAAAAGCUCAAAUUUGAAAUCUGGCGUAUUCUACGUCCGAGUUGUAAUUUGAAGAAGGAUACUUUGGGGUUGGCUCUUGUCUAUGUUCCUUGGAACAGGACGUCACAGAGGGUGAGAAUCCCGUGCGAUGAGAAGUCCAAUUCCGUGUAAAGUUCCUUCGAAGAGUCGAGUUGUUUGGGAAUGCAGCUCUAAGUGGGUGGUAAAUUCCAUCUAAAGCUAAAUAUUGGCGAGAGACCGAUAGCGAACAAGUACAGUGAUGGAAAGAUGAAAAGAACUUUGAAAAGAGAGUGAAAAAGUACGUGAAAUUGUUGAAAGGGAAGGGCUUGAGAUCAGACUUGGUAUUUUGUAUGUCUUGCUUUCGGGUGGGGCCUCUGCAGUUUACUGGGCCAGCAUCGGUUCGGGUGGUAGGAUAAUCGCGAAGAAAUGUGGCACCACCUCGGUGGUGUGUUAUAGUCUUUGUGGAUACUGCCUGUCUGGACCGAGGACUGCGUCUUACGACUAGGAUGCUGGCAUAAUGAUCUUAAGUCGC
rnacentral:rRNA from 2 species